UCGAGCGAACAGACGAGGAGCUUGCUCCUCUGACGUUAGCGGCGGACGGGUGAGUAACACGUGGAUAACCUACCUAUAAGACUGGGAUAACUUCGGGAAACCGGAGCUAAUACCGGAUAAUAUAUUGAACCGCAUGGUUCAAUAGUGAAAGACGGUUUUGCUGUCACUUAUAGAUGGAUCCGCGCCGCAUUAGCUAGUUGGUAAGGUAACGGCUUACCAAGGCAACGAUGCGUAGCCGACCUGAGAGGGUGAUCGGCCACACUGGAACUGAGACACGGUCCAGACUCCUACGGGAGGCAGCAGUAGGGAAUCUUCCGCAAUGGGCGAAAGCCUGACGGAGCAACGCCGCGUGAGUGAUGAAGGUCUUCGGAUCGUAAAACUCUGUUAUUAGGGAAGAACAAAUGUGUAAGUAACUAUGCACGUCUUGACGGUACCUAAUCAGAAAGCCACGGCUAACUACGUGCCAGCAGCCGCGGUAAUACGUAGGUGGCAAGUGUUAUCCGGAAUUAUUGGGCGUAAAGCGCGCGUAGGCGGUUUUUUAAGUCUGAUGUGAAAGCCCACGGCUCAACCGCGGAGGGUCAUUGGAAACUGGAAAACUUGAGUGCGGAAGAGGAAAGUGGAAUUCCAUGUGUAGCGGUGAAAUGCGCAGAGAUAUGGAGGAACACCAGUGGCGAAGGCGACUUUCUGGUCUGUA
rnacentral:rRNA from 1 species